rnacentral:misc_RNA from 1 species
AACGCACAUUGCGCCCUCUGGUAUUCCGGGGGGCAUGCCUGUUCGAGCGUCAUUACAACCCUCAAGCCUCGCUUGGUCGUGGGCUCUUUCGCCUUUCUAGGCUGGCCUCAAAAGCAGCGGCGGUCACUUCCUUUGGCCUGUAGCAUAGUACAAUCUCUUGCUAGUCAGGCUCGCUGGAGAACCGCCUUACAAGAAAACAAGGUUGACCUCGGAUCAGGUAGGGAUACCCGCUGAACUUAA